AAUAAAGUUCGUGCGCGCCGGGAGCGGAAGCGGAAGCGGUGAAUCUCCAUGGCGGUGGCGGCGGCAGCGGCGGCGGGACCCGUGUUCUGGAGGCGACUACUGGGCCUCCUGCCCGGCCGCCCAGGGCUGGCCGCGCUCCUGGGACGCCUGUCCGACCGCCUCGGCAGGAACCGGGACCGCCAGCGCAGGAGGUCACCAUGGCUGUUAUUGGCUCCCCUGCUGUCCCCAGCUGUUCCCCAGGUCACCUCCCCACCUUGCUGCCUGUGUCCAGAAGGCGUGCACCGGUUCCAGUGGAUCAGAAACCUGGUUCCAGAAUUUGGAGUCUCCAGUUCUCAUGUCAGGGUGCUUUCUUCCCCAGCAGAGUUUUUUGAGCUCAUGAAGGGGCAGAUAAGAGUGGCCAAGAGGCGGGUCGUGAUGGCAUCCCUCUACCUGGGGACAGGUCCUUUGGAACAGGAACUGGUGGACUGCCUGGAAGGUACUCUAGAAAAGUCACUCCAAGCAAAGUUUCCUUCAAAUCUCAAGGUCUCCAUUCUCUUAGACUUCACGCGAGGCUCACGAGGCCGGAAGAACUCCCGCACGAUGCUGCUCCCACUUCUGCAGAGGUUCCCAGAGCAGGUCCGAGUCUCCCUCUUUCACACACCACACCUCCGCGGGCUGCUCCGGCUCCUCAUCCCUGAGCGCUUCAACGAGACCAUUGGCCUCCAGCACAUUAAGGUGUAUCUCUUCGACAACAGUGUCAUCUUGAGCGGUGCAAACCUGAGUGACUCCUACUUCACCAACCGCCAGGACCGCUACGUGUUCCUGCAGGACUGUGUGGAGAUUGCCGACUUCUUCACGGAGCUGGUGGACGCAGUGGGGGAUGUGUCCCUGCAGCUGCAGGGGGACGACACGGUGCAGGUGGUGGAUGGGAUGGUGCAUCCUUACAAAGGUGACCGGGCCGAGUACUGCAAGGCAGCCAAUAAGAGGGUCAUGGAUGUGAUCAACUCAGCCAGGACCCGCCAGCAGAUGCUGCAUGCCCAGACCUUCCACGGCAACUCCCUUUUGACCCAGGAAGAUGCAGCAGCUGCUGGGGAUUGCAGACCGGCCCCUGACACCUGGAUUUACCCGCUGAUUCAGAUGAAGCCCUUCGAGAUCCAAAUCGAUGAGAUGGUCACUGAGACGCUGUUGACGGAGGCGGAGCGUGGCGCAAAGAUCUACCUCACCACUGGCUACUUCAACCUGACCCAGGCCUACAUGGACCUGGUCUUGGGCACUCGGGCUGAGUACCAGAUCCUGCUGGCCUCACCAGAGGUGAAUGGCUUCUUUGGGGCCAAGGGGGUGGCUGGCGCCAUCCCAGCGGCCUAUGUGCACAUCGAGCGGCAGUUCUACAGCGAGGUGUGCAGCCUGGGACAGCAGGAGCGGGUCCAGCUGCAGGAGUACUGGCGGAGGGGCUGGACAUUCCACGCCAAAGGCCUCUGGCUGUACCUGGCAGGGAGCAGCCUGCCCUGUCUCACGCUGAUUGGCUCUCCUAAUUUUGGGUACAGGUCAGUUCACCGGGACCUGGAGGCCCAGAUUGCGAUCGUGACAGAGAACCAGGCCCUGCAGCAGCAGCUUCACCAGGAGCAAGAGCAGCUCUACCUGAGGUCAGGGGUGGUGUCCUCUGCCACCUUCGAGCAGCCGAGUCGCCAGGUGAAGCUGUGGGUGAAGAUGGUGACUCCACUGAUCAAGAACUUCUUCUGAGGACAGACAGGUACCCACUCCACUGAGUCUCCAGAUGCCUGUGUUGGGGUCGGCAGUGGGCAACCCCUUCUGCUCUCCCUUCCCAGGGGGUCCUGAAGAGGCCCUGGGGCAAGGGCUCAGGGAUGAGGGGGCACAAAGGCAGACUGAGCCCCUCCAAGCUGAGCAUGCUGGUGCAGGUGAUGUAGACGUGGGAGGAGGAGAGCACGGUUGCUCGUGAGAGUGGCUCUGGCUUGCUGCCCUGGCUAGCUGCAGCCCACAGGGUGGGGCGUCGUUGGAGCCAGAUCUCGGCUGCUGCCUGGACGCCUCGCUGACAUCCCUGUGCUGCGGUUAUAGAGAUGCACCCUUCUAGACUCUGGAAGUUGAGUAUCAGGACCCUCUCUGCCCACCCAGGAGGGGUCUGCCGCUUCACCAGAGGCACCAGUGGGGUCCCACAGUCACCUGAGGUACCCCUGGGUUGUCUUGACGCCUAGAGGUCCAGGCAGGGGGUGGCUGCCAUUAAAGGUGGGGUCUUUGCUGGGUGACCCUCUUGUGUCCUGGAUUCCUCUGGGCCUGGACUGCAUUUCAGGUGGGGUCAGGCUCCCGAGGCCCCUGCGGCCCCUGCUCUUUGGGUCUGGAUGUUGGGGGUAGCUCUGUUGCUUUGGAUGAUUGGGCCUUUGGAUGGUGGCUUGUGGGGAGGGACGGUGAGGAGUCCAAGAGGAGCCAGGGCCCAUGUGGCUGGCGCGUGCCCUAAUGCUGGCGUCUCAUGUGUGCAGCAUGGGCUCCCUUAGUGCCUGCCACCUUAGUUCUCUGCUAAAUCUCAUUUUUAAAAAAUGUGUAGUUUAUCUUGCAACUUCUCCUAGUUAUUUUAAUUACUUUUAAUUUUAUUUGAAUACUAUGUGCAAAUGUAGAGAGUAAAACAAUACUGCGGCCAUUUCCUGCCCUCCCUUCCCUCAGGCAGCCACUUUGGCUUGUUUCUGAUAUGCACACGUGUCUAUUUCUAAAUAACGUGCAUAUCCUGUUAUCUUCCCCCAAAAUAUAUACUUAACCAAAAAAGCACCAGUGUCACUCCUAAAACAAAAAUUACCAAGAAUGUCUUACUGUCAUCAAAUACCUAAAUGGUGUUCACAAUUCCAGUUGCCUUAAUUUUUUCGAUUGACUUGAAGUUCAUUUAAGGACUAUACCUUGUGAUUGUUUUUGCCCUAGCAAUUUAUGUUUUGAAGAAUGAACUUUGUGUUGGAUCUACUUAAAACAUUUUUGUGUCACCUAGUAGCAGGGAUUUCGAAUACACGUCGUGUGUUUAUAAAGCCAGCUCUCCACCCCCCCAAUUCUCCAGGAGCAGCUUUCGUAACCUCAUUGCCUGAUCUCUUUAGCUUCAGGUGCUUGACCCUGGCACAGAGAGCAGCUUCCUGGGCUGCAGGGCAUGGCAGCCUUUCCUUUCGUGGAGUGAGAUUAGAUUGAGUCUCUGUAUUUUGCCUCUCUAGAAGCAGCUUCUUGCCUUUCCCUCCCGAGGGCUGGCAGCAGUCACUGUCACCCUUCAUGGGGUCUGGUUGCAUGGGCUCACCUGGUCUCAGACAAGGGCAGCUACAGCCCCCGCACCAGGCAGAACUGCAGUUUGAGUGGCUGGGGAUAGAUGGAGUGGCGGCCUGGCCACACUGCCCUGGGCAGCAGCACGUCAGAUUCUGUGGGACCAGAGUAAACAUCAUUGUGCCACAGCCCGGCUGAAGCCAUCUGCAGUGCUGUUCCCGCAGCGCACCACUGCUCCCUCUGUCUCGGCUAAUGACCUUCGAGGCUGUCUGAGGCAGGUUCUCCCCGAGGAGCUCCCCUAGACCAAGGCUCCCUAACUCUGCAGAGCAACCACAGCAACAGAGAACAGUGGGUGGUUGCCGCCGCAGUCCUCCUGGCGUUCUAGGUGCACGGGGCUGUUGUGCUCCAGUCCCUGUGUUCCCCGUCGCUGGAGUGCAGCUUAAGUGCGAAUCAUCUCUUGGAAGGUUUAGAGAUAAUUUUGUCAACUACCCACGAUGUAUAUGUGUGGAAUAGAUUACUCUUAUUUCAUGAUUUAAAGGCAAAAUGGAAAAACUUCACAUUUUGUGGUUAUUACCAGGGACUGAAGUGAGUUGCUUGGUGGCCCCUGGCAGCUUUAUCUCCCCUGGUCACAUGAAGGGCUGCAGUGACCCCUCCUGGCCAGCAGAGGUAUUGGCCCAGCCAGGCUGGGGGAGGCUGAAACUGCCUCCUCUGCAGCCCCAAAGGGGCUGGAUUCCUUCCUUGGGCGCCAGGAAGAGAGGAUCUGAGGGAUGUUUUUCUUCUCCCUCCGAUAGCCCUACUGGGCCCUAAGAUUGUUGUGAAUCAUUACCCUCAGAAUUUGGAUUUCCUAGAUGCUUCUUAACCCAUGAUUUAGGUGAGUAAACUUGGAAAAAUGUUUUUGCAAAACUUGAUCCUCAAGCUGAACUUAGAAAGACAUUCCUAGUGCGUGUGUUUGCCUUUUUUCCCCCUUUUGAGACAGGGUCUAUUCUGUCACCCAGGCUGGAGUGCAGUGGCAUGAUCAUGGCUUUCUGCAUACUUGACCUCAUGGGCUCAAGCGACCCUCCUGCUGCCUCAGCCUCCUGACUAGCCGGGACCACAGGCACAUACAAUAUUCCCGGCUCAGUUUUUGUAUUUUUGGCAGAGAUGGUUUUGCCAUGUUGUCCAGGCUGGUCUUAAAACACUCCUAGGCUCAAGUAAUCCCGCCCUCCUGGGGUUAGAAGUGUGAGCCGCUGCACCAGCCUGCUUUGCUUUGAAGCCUAAGAAACUUUGAGGGCCGGGCGCAGUGGUUCACAUUUGUAAUCCCAGCACUUUGGAAGGCCAAGGUCAGUGAAUCACCUGAGGUCAGGAGUUUGAGACCAGCCUGGCCAACGUGGUGAAACCCUGUCUCUACUAAAAAUACAAAAAUUAGCUGGGUGUGGUGGUGGGUGCCUGUAGUCCCAGCUACUUGGGAGGUUGAGGCAGGAGAAUCGCUUGAGCCCAGGAGGUGGAGGUUGCAGUGAGCCGAGAUUGCAUCAUUGCACUCCAGCCUGGGCGACAAGAGUGAAACUCUUGUCUCCAAAAAAGAAAAAAAAAAAAAAAAUGUUGAGGACCCUAUCUUGGUCCCCCUGGGAUCUAUCUUUUCUGGCGUUUACAGCUGCCUCCCCUCAUCCCCCAGGUUGCUAGUUAAUCCCCUUCCUUUGUGCCUGCACCCUGCUGCCGUAGCCAGCCUGGCCACCUCACUGCCGUGUCCUGCAUCAGCACAGCCACAGAGUCCCACAGGCCCGGCUUGCUUGUGGGAACGGCUUGUUCUUCUAGACUCUGGGGGCGGGGGCUUGGGUGUGUUUCCUUACUUGUAAAAGGUCCUGUUGUUUUUGGGAGUGGGGAGUAAUGGCAGAUGAGACGUUGUGUGGAGGCGGCAGCUCCUGUUAUGGGGUAACGCCCUGUCCCCUCAUUGGCAGGUGGUUUGCAUGUAGCAUCAGGCCAGAGGGUGUGAGUGCCAAGCCUUCACCGCACAUGCUGCUCGUGUUAAAAACAAACCCCACUGACACCCCCCCCAGGAAGUCAGGAUUUGGGGUUUGCUUCCUGGAAUGCUUGCCUCUGGCUGCUGGGAAUUGGGGCCUUUCCCCAAAGCCUGAGCCAGGCCCUACGGUGGCCAUCAGGCAUAGAAUGGAGUCAGAUGGGCACAGCUGAAUGGCUCCACUGGCUUUAAUCUGCCCCACCUCUUCCACGCCAACCUCCACCCUCUGGUUAGUUCAGAUGUGCUUGGUUACAAAGCACCUUGAUUAUUUAAGAGAACAAAAGCAACCACCAGUUCCUGUAAAGUGAAGGGCUGAGUCGUGGUCCAGCCCCGGGGAGCGUGGGCCGUGAGGCGGGGGGGGGAGCUAAACCUGCAGCAGCAGCGCCACGGCUGCCAGGACCCACUUCGCUGCCUUCUCCUUGGUCUUCAGGUUAAAAGUCCAGACGUAGGUGGGACCGCGGAUGCGUGUUUUGUACACAGGACACUCAUAGAUGUUCUUGGUCUCCAUGCGGUCCACAGGAAUGGCCUUGAUGAAGAUGACAGGCAUGGCUGGGGUCAGCUCCUUCAGCCGCGCUUCCGCGAUGACUCCAGUCUGGGUGUCCCAGCGAGCGCCUGCAGGGACAGCAUGGCUGAGGGCCGGGUGUGCGGCCAGUAAGGAAGGGAGGGGCCUCCACCCCAAAAGGCUUCAGGCCAGGUGCCACAGCAGGAAGCAGAGGCCUUCGUAGGUGAUGGCGUGCAUGUUGUAACUACCCCGUCUCGCUGGGCACAGGGAACCGCUCAGCUAAAGCCCUCGGGUUCCAUCCGUUUAAAUCUGUGGCUUUUUCAGAGCCUCAUCUGUCAGCCUUAAUGUCAGUGGCAGGAAAUCAUAACUCCAGCUAAAAUUAAAGUUCCCUGAUUCUUCA